CCUACGGGGGGCAGCAGUGGGGAAUAUUGCACAAUGGGGGAAACCCUGAUGCAGCGACGCCGCGUGAGUGAAGAAGUAAUUCGUUAUGUAAAGCUCUAUCAGCAGGGAAGAAAAUGACGGUACCUGAGUAAGAAGCCCCGGCUAACUACGUGCCAGCAGCCGCGGUAAUACGUAGGGGGCAAGCGUUAUCCGGAUUUACUGGGUGGAAAGGGAACGUAGACGGCAGUGCAAGUCUGGAGUGAAAGACGGGGGCUCAACCCCCGGACUGCUCUGGAAACUGUACGGCUGGAGUGCAGGAGAGGUAAGCAGAAUUCCUGGUGUAGCGGUGAAAUGCGUAGAUAUUAGGAGGAACACCAGUGGCGAAGGCGGCAAACUGGACUGUAACUGACGUUGAGGCGCGAAAGCGUGGGGAGCAAACAGGAUUAGAUACCCGUGUAGUC
rnacentral:rRNA from 1 species